CCCUGCCCCCACCGAAGACUAUAGCUAUUCUGCCCUUCUUCUUUCGUAUUUUCUUCCUGGCAAAACCACCGAAAUUCCUGCCUCAAUUCCCUGCAAGCUGCCAGCCCGCCACUGCUCCACUUCUUUGUGUCUCCUCUCCUUUGCCGCACGAAGCCAGUCAACCGAAGCUGCUCCCUCUUGCCAUUGUUGACCGCGAUCUCCACGUGCGGUCGUCCACGACGCCACCGACCGCCUGCUCCACUUUCAUCUCUCGCUGCCGCAGCCACACGUCCAGCAGCGACCGGACUUGCAACUUCACCAGUCAACCUCCCUCGCCGAAAGCCAGCCGCGUUGACACCCUUGCUGCCAGCAAGUUCGUGGACGCCAGCAGGCCGCCCCAUCUCCACGCGUCUCCGCAGAAGCUCCCGACUCCCAUCUCCACGGUUUUUUCCACUGCAGCCACGCCAGCUUCCCCCACCGAAUUGAUUCCUCCAGCUCGGUCAACCAGCGAAGCUGGUGUUGACCUUCGAAACUCCACCAAGUUUUCUCUCUAUGCCUUCGUCUCCAGCAGCACGCGGCCACGAAGCAACCGAGCAGCUGCCAGCGCCACCGACCCUCUUCCAUAGUUGCUGCUUCGGUUUACCCAACCAACUCCACGCCACCGAUUGAGGCCAGCAACUUCAGCAAUUUGGUCAGCCCAUCAUCACGGUCCGUCUUCUUCAAGCCAACGACGCCAGCUCUUUGACCAGCCCAUCUCACAACUUGUUCGGCCUCUUCAGCCCAGCAAGCUUCAGCCCAUCCAGCUCAGGUUUUGGCCCAGCACCUCCAUCAAGCUCAGCCCAGUUCGUUAUUUUCCCAAGCUCAGCAGCCCAAGCCCGCGAAGACAGGCCCAGUUCAGUUUAGUUCAGCCCAUUAUCAGCCUUAAUCCAGUUCACUUGAAGCCCAGACUAAGCCCAUUGAAUUUCUGUGGGCUUGCAAGGCUUUUGGGCCCAGCCCAAGUAUCCGCCGACGCCGCCGAAAAUUUGGAUUUCGGCCGCCGUCGCGUCGCCGUCGUGGUGUUAGGGUCUUCGCUAUGCACAAGACCCUGAUGAGGAGCCUGAGGAGAAAGAACCGAAGAGGAGUAUCUGGAGGAGAACCCCGAGGAUAAUCCAGAGUAGGAUCCUGAUGAGAAUUGAGACUCCACUCCUAUCUGAUGACUUUUGCUGUAGAACCUAUUUGAAUAGAAACUGACCUUUUUAACUUGGCUUGUAUAUGUAUAUGUAUGACUGAGUUGUUAUAUAUGUACAUAAUAGUGUUGGUUUUCA